AGUGUGAUAGCUGGGUCAUAUCGUGGUUCUAUUCCCAAUUUUUUGAGGAAUUUCCACACUGCUUUCCAUAGUGGUUGUACCAAUUUGCAGUCCCACCAGCAAU
rnacentral:pre_miRNA from 1 species